GUGGAGGCUGUACACCUGGGAUUGUAGUUCAAUCGGUCAGAGCACCGCCCUGUCAAGGCGGAAGCUGCGAGUUCGAGCCCCGUCAGUCCCGACGCUGGA
rnacentral:tRNA from 1 species